UGCGAGUCAUUGUAGCAAUACAAGGCAGACGGCUCAGUAACGCGUAGUCAAUCUACCCUAUGGACGGGAAUAACCUCGGGAAACUGAGAAUAAUGCCCGACAGAACAUUAUACCUGGAACGGCUUAUGUUUCAAAUGAUUUAUCGCCGUAGGAUGGGACUGCGGCCUAUCAGUUUGUUGGUGAGGUAAUGGCCCACCAGGACUAUUACAGGUACGGGCUCUGAGAGGAGUAGCCCGGAGAUGGGUGCUGAGACACGGACCCAGGCCCUAUGGGGCGCAGCAGGCGAGAAAACUUUGCAAUGUGCGAAAGCACGACAAGGUUAAUCCGAGUGGUUUCUGCUAAAGAAACCUUUUGCUAGUCCUAGAAACACUAGUGAAUAAGGGGUGGGCAAGUUCUGGUGUCAGCCGCCGCGGUAAAACCAGCACCUCAAGUGGUCAGGAUGAUUAUUGGGCCUAAAGCAUCCGUAGCUCGUUUUGUAAGUUUUCGGUUAAAUCCAUACGCUUAACGUAUGGGCUGCCGGGAAUACUGCAUAACUAGGAAGUGGGAGAGGUAGACGGUACUCGGUAGGAAGGGGUAAAAUCCUUUGAUCUAUUGAUGACCACCUGUGGCGAAGGCGGUCUACCAGAACACGUUCGACGGUGAGGGAUGAAAGCUGGGGGAGCAAACCGGAUUAGAUACCCGGGUAGUCCCAGCUGUAAACUAUGCAAACUCAGUGAUGCAUUGGCUUGUGGCCAAUGCAGUGCUGCAGGGAAGCCGUUAAGUUUGCCGCCUGGGAAGUACGUACGCAAGUAUGAAACUUAAAGGAAUUGGCGGGGGAGCACCACAAGGGGUGAAGCCUGCGGU
rnacentral:rRNA from 1 species